GUGGUAGAGUGCUCAGUGGUAGAGCACUUGCUUUGCAUGUAUGAUGCCCUGGGUUCGAUUCCUCAGCACCACA
rfam:Dipodomys ordii contig_21942, whole genome shotgun sequence.